rnacentral:piRNA from 1 species
UAUUAUUGGCAACUUACGUUA